GUUAAUGUGAACCAUGGAAAAACCCACAUGCGGAGCAGCAGCAAAAACUUCAUCUGCACGCAGCACAACAAACAAACAUCACACACACGAAGAAGUUUCUGAGGUCCCAGUCCUAGCUCCAGUACUUCCUUCUUCCCAGAAAACCCGCCCCUUCCCUUGCAAGGCGAGCUGCUGGGCAAACUCGGAGAAGCCUUCUUCCCAGUUAGGGCUCCCCAAGCCGUCCCCAGCUGUGGACACUUGCGCGAGCCCGGGAACGCGCCCUGGAUGACUUACACUUCCAUGUCGACCCCGAGUUGUCGCCUCCGCCCGCCAGCACACACGCAGCCUCACGCUACGCCGCCACCGCUUCCGCCCGCCUCACAGCGCACCGGGUAGCCGGCUCCGCGCGCCGCGGGGCACGUCGGGAUCGCCGCGCUGCAUGCCGGGAACCUGGCGGACCGGGCCGGAGACCUCAAUGCAGCCAGACUUCUGUGCACUUCACGUUGCGGGGCUUGAAACUGUUGAGGGACGCCUGGUGGAAGCGCAAGGCGGCUUUGUGCUGCUGGAAAUGUUCUGUUUCAUGAUCCUGAUGUUGGGUGUGGCGCCGUGUGUUCUGUUUCUGAAAAUUCAGUGAGUUGUCCACUUUUAUGUAUGUUGUAAUUGAAUAAAACGUCUUAAAAAGUGAAAAA